UUAAAUUGAAGAGUUUGAUCAUGGCUCAGAUUGAACGCUGGCGGCAGGCCUAACACAUGCAAGUCGAACGGUAACAGGAAGCAGCUUGCUGCUUUGCUGACGAGUGGCGGACGGGUGAGUAAUG
rnacentral:rRNA from 11 species